rnacentral:rRNA from 1 species
UACAGAGGUCCCGAGCGUUGUUCGGAUUCAUUGGGCGUAAAGGGUGCGUAGGCGGCGCGGUAAGUCGGGUGUGAAAUCUCGGGGCUUAACUCCGAAACUGCAUUCGAUACUGCCGUGCUUGAGGACUGGAGAGGAGACUGGAAUUUACGGUGUAGCGGUGAAAUGCGUAGAUAUCGUAAGGAACACCAGUGGCGAAGGCGACCACCUGGACAGAUACUGACACUAAUACACGAAAGCGUGGGGAGCGAACAGG